GUCGAGCGGACAGAUGGGAGCUUGCUCCCUGAUGUUAGCGGCGGACGGGUGAGUAACACGUGGGUAACCUGCCUGUAAGACUGGGAUAACUCCGGGAAACCGGGGCUAAUACCGGAUGGUUGUUUGAACCGCAUGGUUCAAACAUAAAAGGUGGCUUCGGCUACCACUUACAGAUGGACCCGCGGCGCAUUAGCUAGUUGGUGAGGUAACGGCUCACCAAGGCAACGAUGCGUAGCCGACCUGAGAGGGUGAUCGGCCACACUGGGACUGAGACACGGCCCAGACUCCUACGGGAGGCAGCAGUAGGGAAUCUUCCGCAAUGGACGAAAGUCUGACGGAGCAACGCCGCGUGAGUGAUGAAGGUUUUCGGAUCGUAAAGCUCUGUUGUUAGGGAAGAACAAGUACCGUUCGAAUAGGGCGGUACCUUGACGGUACCUAACCAGAAAGCCACGGCUAACUACGUGCCAGCAGCCGCGGUAAUACGUAGGUGGCAAGCGUUGUCCGGAAUUAUUGGGCGUAAAGGGCUCGCAGGCGGUUUCUUAAGUCUGAUGUGAAAGCCCCCGGCUCAACCGGGGAGGGUCAUUGGAAACUGGGGAACU
rnacentral:rRNA from 1 species